rfam:Triticum urartu cultivar G1812 contig785304, whole genome shotgun sequence.
UUUCUACUCCCUCCGUCCAAAAAUACUUGUCAUCAAAAUGGAAGAGAUGUAUCUAAAACUAAAAUGCGUCUCGUCUCAUUUUGAUGACAAGUAUUUCCAGACGGAGGGAGUAUUUG